rfam:Picea glauca, whole genome shotgun sequence.
UUAUGUACAUGCCUACAACAUUAAUGCACUAAAUCCCAUUAGAACUUCGCAGUUAAGUGUGCUUGGGCUAGAGGAGUAUUGGGAUGGGUGGCCUCCCAGAAAGUCAUUUUUUACAUGCC